CCAUCCCGCGGCGACCGGAGGCUGGCGGGGAUAGUCGGCUUCCUGCACCGCCUGGGCUCCGCGGGUGAUCUGAAACUGCUCCCGCGCAGUUCUCCCGUCUGAAACUUUGACAGAAACUUUCCUCUGUCUCUACCAAUCCUCAAGAAAUCAGCAGAAAUGUCAAGAAAAAGACAUACAAAGAAAAGGUGAAUAAUCAAAUAAAAGGCAUGCAAAAGCAGACCCUUUACUCCUGAAAUCUGUAAGACACCGACUUUGGAUGUUACCCUAAAGAAGAAGACACUUCAGACCCAAGACACAGGAGCCUGCAGCACAGGGGGACAGGAUCCAAGUGCUGCCCCAGCGGAAUUACAAAGAGGGCCAGCUGUUUUCCAAGAGGCCAAUUUAAAAAAAUUCUACAGCUCAUUUUAGAACUGGGGAUUGAACUCAGGCCCUUGCGCUUGCCAGGGAAGCGCUUAUUCCAUUGAGCCAUCUCCCCGGCCCCAUAAUGGCUUCUAAUUGGUGCCAUAAUAGAGAUGAAAAUGCUGACUUGCUUCAUAGAGAUGUUGAUUAAUACUCAGAGUUGCUCUGAAAAUAUCAAGUCCUCCUCAAACCUGAGGAACAAGUUCAACAUCUUGGGAGCUGUGCUGCUGAAGGAAUUCAACUGACUCAUUCACUGUCCAAUUUUCACAAGAUCAUUGAAGAUUUCAAGUCUCAGGAGCAAUUACUCCUUUUCUAUGCACAUCUGCUCCUGAAAUUCUGGGCCCACAUCUGAUGCCAAGUCCUAGAAUCGAGACUGAGCUAGAAAACGCACAGUAGGUACAUUUCCCUGUGCACACCAGUCCUGUCUUCUUAUUUGUCCACACUGGCACUAUGACACAAAGCAAUAAGAACACUGAAACAAUCUUUUGUUUUCUUUUUUAGAAACAUGUUAUAACUUGUACCUUUCAGUAACAUAUUUUCAGUAUUGCCAAAUGUAUUAAAAUAUGGAAAUUGUCUGAUCUACAUAUUGAUUAAACAAUAUUACUAUUACUUACUGAUUCCCUUUCUAGGAUUUAUCUCAAGGGCCUUGUUCAGAUUACAACAGCUAAACAGAUCAGAAUUUAAGUAAUGCAACUGCUGAUUGUGUAAGCCAUACAAUCUAUUGGAAAGAUCUGAAAAGAUACAGUUAGGAAUGCAGAGUUGUGUCCACAUCUUAAGUAGGCAUGUCCUAUUAUUUUUAUUUGCUUGAAAUACUAGCCAGACUCUUAUUAGUAAUGUACUAGAGGACAGUAAAGAAAGCAACAACAAACCAUGCGCUCAGCAUAGUGCUAAAUAUUUGAUUUACAUCAUUUCAUCUACGACUCCUCUAAAAGUGUACACACAAUGUAUUGAAAUACUAUGUAUCGUAAUUGAAAUAAAUGGUGAAUGGUUAAUAUAAAAAAUUUAUUCUAGAAGACACAUUGUCAUUAAUUCCCCUCAGAAUACUCCCCUUCACUUCAAACUCACUUAUCCCAUCAUUCUUGUCCCCUUCUGAAGCAGUUCUCGAACUCCUUUUUCAUGAGUGUCUUUACAAGUUAUGAUUAAAAAUAUGGCACAUGCUGUUUGCCAAGUGCUGUCCAACAGAAAGGAAGGCUUGUAAAAACAUUCUACAGUACCCUCAUCUA